rnacentral:rRNA from 1 species
UCAGGAUGAACGCUAGCGUACAGGCGUUAACACAUGCAAGUCGAGGGGCAGCAGGGCAAUAGCUGCUAUGUGCUGGCGACCGGCGCACGGGUGAGUAACGCGUAGUCCAACCUACCCCGCGGUCAGGGACAGCCCGGCGAAAGUCGGAUUAAUACCUGAUGCAGUCAGAAGAGGGCAUCUGAUUUUGACGAAAGAUUGAUCGCCUCGGGAUGGGGAUGCGUAGGAUUAGGCAGGCGGCGGGGUAACGGCCCACCGCGCCGACGAUCCUUAGGGGUUCUGAGAGGAAGGUCCCCCACACUGGUACUGAGACACGGACCAGACUCCUACGGGAGGCAGCAGUGAGGAAUAUUGGUCAAUGGGCGCGAGCCUGAACCAGCCAAGUAGCGUGCAGGACGACGGCCCUAUGGGUUGUAAACUGCUUUUAUGCGGGGAUAAAGUGCGGCACGUGUGCCGUUUUGUAGGUACCGCAUGAAUAAGGACCGGCUAAUUCCGUGCCAGCCGCUGC